rnacentral:rRNA from 1 species
UACGUAGGGGGCUAGCGUUGUCCGGAAUCAUUGGGCGUAAAGCGCGUGUAGGCGGCCCGGUAAGUCCGCUGUGAAAGUCGGGGGCUCAACCCUCGGAUGCCGGUGGAUACUGUCGGGCUCGAGUCCGGAAGAGGAGAGUGGAAUUCCCGGUGUAGCGGUGAAAUGCGCAGAUAUCGGGAGGAACACCAAUGGCGAAGGCAGCUCGCUGGGACGUGACUGACGCUGAGACGCGAAAGCGUGGGGAGCAAACAGG